rnacentral:rRNA from 1 species
AUUGAACGCUAGCGGGAUGCCUUACACAUGCAAGUCGAACGGAGUGGCGAACGGGUGAGGAAGGGAUGGGAACGUGCCCAGUAGCGGGGGAUAACUACGCGAAAGCGUAGCUAAGACCGCAUACUAUUGGAGCGGCCGAUAUCGGAUUAGCUAGUUGGUGGGGUAACGGCUCACCAAGGCGACGAUCCGUAGCUGGUUUGAGAGGACGACCAGCCACACUGGGACUGAGACACGGCCCAUACUCCUACGGGAGGCAGCAGUGGGGAAUUUUGGACAAUGGGGGAAACCCUGAUCCAGCCAUCCCGCGUGUGCGAUGAAGGCCUUCGGGUUGUAAAGCACUUUUGGCAUUAAAGCGGUACCUGCAGAAUCCGCACCGGCUAACUACGUGCCAGCAGCCGCGCUCCUCC